CAGAGCCUUGAUCUCUGUGGAAGGCAGGGUAGAAAUCUAGAAGAUGAGGUUUUUGGGUCUUCUUCUGUGUCUGGUGGCAGUUCUCCAAGGUGUUCUGUCCCAGGUUCAGCUGAAGGAGUCAGGACCUGGGCUGAUAACACCCUCACAGACGCUGUCCCUCACCUGCUCAGUCUCUGGAUUCUCCAUCACAGACAGUGGUUACUGCUGGCACUGGAUCCGUCAACACUCAGGGAAGGGACUGGUAUGGAUUGGGGGGAUAUGUUCUGGAGGAAGCACUAAUUACAGUCCUACAUUCAAGAGCCGCAUUUCCAUCACCAGAGACACGUCCAAGAAUGAGUUCUCCCUUCACCUGGGCUCUGUGACCACAGAGGACACGGCCCUGUAUUACUGUGCAAGACACAGUCAGGGGAGCUCAAUGUGA